rnacentral:rRNA from 1 species
UACAGAGGGUGCGAGCGUUGUCCGGAAUCACUGGGCGUAAAGGGUGCGUAGGUGGUUAGGUAAGUCCGAUGUGAAAUCUCCAGGCUCAACCUGGAAAUGGCAUUGGAUACUAUUUAGCUUGAGGAGUGGAGGGGGGACUGGAAUUCUCGGGUGUAGCAGUGAAAUGCGUAGAUAUCGGGAGGAACACCUGUGGCGAAAGCGGGCCCACUGGACCACAACUAGACCGCUGAGGCGCGAAAGCCAGGGGAGCGGAACGGG